rnacentral:rRNA from 1 species
UACGUAGGGUGCGAGCGUUGUCCGGAAUUAUUGGGCGUAAAGAGCUCGUAGGCGGUCUGUCGCGUCUGCUGUGAAAACCCGAGGCUCAACCUCGGGCCUGCAGUGGGUACGGGCAGACUAGAGUGCGGUAGGGGAGAAUUGGAAUUCCUGGUGUAGCGGUGGAAUGCGCAGAUAUCAGGAGGAACACCGAUGGCGAAGGCAGU